rnacentral:sRNA from 1 species
UACACGCUCGACAUCUUCUAAUAAAGGCU